UUCCCUACUCUUUUCUUUGAUAAGAGAGUUUUUUAAAACCAGUGUUUAUUUUAUGUAAGUUUAAGAGAAGUUUAUGUAUUAAAUUAUUGAUAUUAAAUAGUUUUUAUUAGGCUUAGACUUAAUUUUAGGUCAUUUUGGGGGUUUAGCUCAGUUGGCUAGAGCAUCGGCUUUGCAAGCCGAGGGUCAAGGGUUCGAGUCCCUUAACCUCCAUUGGGCUUAUGCCCUAAAUUGUAAUUAAGUAUGUUUUUAAGUAACUUUGUUAAAGUAAUUGUUGGAAUGUGAAACACAAGAAGUUAAAAUUUCUGGGUUAAGUUGAGAUCUGUUGAUAUUAAGAAAAAUGUCUAGAAGCAAAAGCAAGCUUUCGAUAAAACCCGAAGUUGUUUCGCUAAAGUGCAAGGAUUAAACAGGAUUGUAUUUUUCAGCAGCCUAUUUUAUAAACGAUCUGCAUUUAGUAAAUAGUUUUUAGUUAGGAAAUAAUGUAGAUUACUAAGUGUGAUGUCUGAGAGAAGGACAAGUAUUGUAGCGAGCUUAAAUCCUUAUUAUCGUUGCCAGUAUUUAGUGGUAGGGAUUCGGAUAAGAUUGCCAGU
rnacentral:tRNA from 1 species